GUGCUCACUUCAGCAGCACAUAUACUAAAAUUGGAAUGAUACAGAGAAGAUCAGCAUGGCUCCACACAAGGAUAACAUGCAAAUUUAUGAAGCGUUCCAUAAAAAA